rnacentral:lncRNA from 1 species
GCAUUGCCACUUGUUUUCUCGCUCUAUAUAUUUUACUCUGUUUUUUCUUGGCAGUUAAUUAAUUAGUGCAUUAUUCUUCUCAUAUACAACUACUACGAUUAUCAAAAAUGACGAGCCAAGUAGCGGAAAACUUCACAAAAUACUUUGAAAAUUGGAUGAUCCAACUUGAAGAGUUGCUGAAACAACUCGUUAUUGUACCUAGGGAGACGUCAUACGUGAAUGAUCACGAGUUAUUGGUGAGUAAAAUGACGACACAUCACAAGAACUACUACACAGCCAAAUGGGCCGCAGCUCAUGAAGACAUCUUAGCAUUUUUCACUCCAAUGUGGCUUAGUCCUUUAGAAAUCGUCUACUCGUGGAUCACAGGGUGGAAGCCUUCCAUGGCGUUUCGAUUAGUGAGUGGCGGUGGAGGAGCGUUUUCGGAUGAGGAAUUGAAGAAUAUUGAUGGUUUGAGGGUGAAAAUUCGCGGAGAGGAAGAGAAAGUGGAGAGGGAAAUGGAGAGGCAACAGGUUGCAAUUGGGGAUAGAAAAAUGGUGGAAUUAGCAAGGAUUAGAAAUGAUAAUGAUGAGUUGGUAGAAUUGGCGUUGAAAGGGUUAAGGAUGAGUUUAGAAAGGGUUAUGAAAAUGGCAGAUUGUGUUAGGCUUAAAACGUUGAAAGGUUUGUUGGAGAUAUUGAGUCCUUUACAGAGUGUUGAUUUCUUGGCUGCUAUUUCUACUAUUCAAAUUCAGAUGAGGAAAAGGGGAAGAAAAAGAAUAAAUGUUGAUUAGCUUAGCUAGUCUCCAGAUUUUAUUUUGUGAUUGUGUCAAUUUCCUUUUAUUGGAACGGCUUUUUUUUUUUAAAUUAGCUUGCUUUGAGUAGACUCUUAUAUUUUGGGAGCAAAUGAAUCAACACUCUGAAGAUAACAAUUCUCUACACUCGAAGAUGCCCAACAUUUGGUAGAAAUCUGCAGUAUUAGUUUAAAUCGGAACUGAAUAUAUUUCUUCAUCCUCUCUAAUAUUAUAAUACAUAGUAACAACUUCGUUUCACUUCGAAAAGUAUUGUUUUCAACAAGUGAUUUUCAGUAUUAAAUAAAAUUCAAAACUAAUCAAUGCACAUAAAUCGAAAUCCAGCAAACUUUAGGGCUUAUAUCGAAGGAAUAAUUUGGAAGAAGCAUAUCUGUUGCGGAUGAGGAGAGAGAGAGAGCUGUAACAAUGGCAGUCUGCAGCAGCAUUAGAAAAAUGUUUGUAAGAAAGCCAUGAGAUUCCGAAAAGGGAUUGAGGAAGAACGGGUUGGGUUUUUGGGCCUGCCUUUUUCUUUCAUUUUCGGAAAAAUCACUUAGUUCAGUAAAUAAUAUAACAAAUAUUUACCCAUUUUAGCAAUAUUUUACUUUUAUUAUUAUUAUUAUUAUUAUUAUUAUGUAUUGCAAUACAUAAUAAUAUUCUGAAUUUAAAGUGAUUUUGUAUGCAAGACACAUGUAUUGUGAAUAUUUUAAAAUAUAUGUCUCAUUGCUAAUUAGAUAUUGACAAAAUAUAUUAUACUUUAUAAGGGUAUUAAAUUAUGUGAUAAAUAUACUACUUAUGAAAAGAAUUGUAUUACAUGUGUUUUAUAAAUUAUUUUGUGUAAUUGUAUUACAUGUGUUUUAUAAAUUAUUUUAUGUAAUAUGUAUAAAAAUCAUAUAGUAAGUGUCCACUAAGAUUGCUACGUAACAAUUUCUUAAGUAGGUAAUAAAAUUCGCUUCGAGAAAAUAAUAAUCAGAAACGGAAAAUUAUAGCAACAAUCGAUUUUAUUAUUUCAAAUGCAAAUGUAACAAUCUCUAUGAUUCCUCUGAAUUCGCCUUUUCAAAUAUAAAUUCGAGCUUGUUCUUGAAUUCGAUGGUCUUGAUCUUGAUCGUUCUUGAACUUGAAUUCUUAAACUUGUAGCUUUGUAGAGAAUUAAAUGACAUUUGUACCAUAAAUUUUCUCUAGCUUCUUGUUUAUAAUUUUCUUUGUCCCCUUUUUAUGAAUUAUGAGACCUCCAUUUAUAGUUUUAGAAUAGAGGAGUUGUCAUUAGAACAGGACUCCCUUCGGCCAAUCAGAUUUAAGUGAAAUAUCAUAUGUGCUUUAUGGAGCGGACUUUAAUUAAAGGGCAACUUUCACAUAUAGCAAACAAUAAAUUCAUAUUUGUAUAUUAUAGUGAAGUUUGCAUAAUUGAGCUCCAUACCAAACAUAUAACUGUAUAAUUCGCUAUACAUAUACAAGUGUAUAAAUCGCUGGUCUAAAUUGCAUAAUUCGCUGGCCUCGCUAUACAUAUACAAUUGUAUGAUUCACUGGCCUAAAUUGUAUGAUUCGCUGGCUUAUUUUGCUGCAAUUGCACAAUGUGCAAUUGUAUAAUUCACUGGCCUAUUCAGCUGCAAUAUGUGUAUAGUAUUUGUUUUGCACACAAUUGAAUCGAAGUAAAAUGUUUGUAUAUUGUAUAAUUAUAAAUGUAUAGGAAGAAGAUAUAUAUGUUUUUCUCUCGCUUUAUACAAAAACAGAAACACAAUUUAUACUUCUGUUGUAUAAAGCGAGAGAAAAUUGUAUUUCACUGCAAUUGUAUGAUUCUCUGGCCUUUCUCGCUGCAAUAUUUGUAUAAAAUUCGCAUUUACAAUUGAAUCGAACUAAAAUGUUUGUAAAUUAUAUAAUUAAGUGUAUAGCACGAAGAUAUAUGUUUUUACAUGUGUAUGUAUAAUUUUUUCUCGCUUUAUACAAAACAGAAAUACAAUUAUACACUUCUAUUGUAUAAAGCGAGAGAGGCGAGCAGAGGGAGAACGGUGAGCGAGAAUGGGAGAGUGGCGAACGAGAGUUUUGGGAGAGAGACGACUAACAAACUUUGGCAAACGUUUCUUAUGGGGCACAAUUAAAUCAAACAGUAGCUACUCCAUUUAUUUUAGAUUAUUAGUUUGCUAUUAUAUACAAUUAUCCCUUGAUUAAAUUUACAUUUAUUUGAAUUUAAAUAAUUAAAUCAAUUAUAUUAAUCUAUGAAAUUUAUUUGAACUAAUAUAUUCAUUAAUUUAAUAUAAUUUGAACAACUUCAUAAUUUAUAUUUAGUAAAUUUUAAUUCACUACAAACACAUCUAUAUAAAUUUUCCAAGAAUAUAACAAAGACAUUUAACUUGACUUUCUCGUAUAAACACUUAUAUAUGUACAAAAUAAAAUUGGUAAUAAUUGAAGUUAUUUAUUAAAUAGCCAUUCAACUCAAUUUGUCCUAAUUGGACGUCAAAUGCGCCUAUGUUUUGUUUCGUUUUUCAAAUAUCAUCCAUCUUCAUUGUACUCAAUUAGUUUAAGCUAAUGACCUCAAUUCUCCAUAGAUGAAUUUGGAGAAGAUGGAAAUCAGAGAAAAGAAGAUAGUAGUAUUUUGUAUUUACUUAAUUAUAUUAUUUUAUAAUAAUAUAACUUCUCCUCGCUUCCCUUAGACCUUAUCACCAGAUAUCCUCCAUUGAAAGUUAAUUUCACCUAAUACAUGUAAUUAUUCUUUGAAUCUAACUUAAAAACAUGUGAUCGGUAGUUAAAUUUAUAUAUAUAUAUAUAUAUAUAUAUAUAUAUAUAUAUUUUAAUAUACGAAUUCAAGUUGUGUUUGACCUAGUUCACACAUCGAAUCACAGGCCACCACGUGUUGGACACAAAUAAGCUUAUAUUUUCCUUAUUCCCUACGUUAACUCUUCAACUUUCUCAAUUUCCAAAUUGCCUCUUCAAACCCCUCAAAGAUCACCAAGACUUACUAAUAAAUUUCAAUUCAUAAUAGCAAGUAAACAAUUGUUGUUUUUAUGUGAUUAAUUUAUACAAAAUAUAUAGGAUAUGCCUAUACUUGGUAAUGCUCAGCUGACAUCCGUAUAAGAACAUAUAUUAUACGCAUUAAUUUUAAAAUAUGUCAUAUGAAUUUUCAUAUAAAAUACGUAUAUGUACUUCAUUAAUUUUAUGUAAAUUCAAAUAUCUAUUUAUGUUUGUCGAACAUUGAUAUCAAGUACCAAGUAAUAUAAUGCCUCUUUCUAUUUUAGAACUUAAAUUGAUACGUUGCCUCCAAGUUCAUUAAUUAGGUGUCUUUUGUACCAUUGCCACUUCUCAGCUCUUGGCUCUAUAUAAUUCAAAUGACAUUCUUCUUCUCCUUUUUUUUUUCAGUGGUAGCAUAUCACUUAUUUCGUCUAAGAAAGAUGACAUGAACUCAAGUUUGGAAAAUACUUAGAUAUCAUGCUUUCUCAAUUUCAGGAUUUGAAGUAAAGAUGCAAAUGAGUUGAUUAUGCAUCGAAUGAUGAAGAUGUUAUUCAAUAAUUGAAGGUAUUGGUGAUAAAAUCUAAUUUUCUCCUUUUGUAUUGUUUAUAAAUUUUCAAUAGGUCUAUAUCAAUUCACAAUUUUAUUCUUAAAUUCUUGGUUAUAAAUUGUUGUCUAUUUAGUCUUGUAUAUGAAUUUGUAUAUGCUAUGAUUCUAGCUCUAGGAAAUUGUAUUUGGAUAAAUGAUUAAUUAUGCAUAUGAUUUUAGAGAGUUAGUACUUGUAUCUUGAGAACUUGUGUGUUUUCAAUAGUUGUCCAACAUUAAUUACUUAUUUGUAUAUCGCUUAUAUUGGUUCAAUAUUGCUUAUUUAUCUAACAUUCAAUUAUAUUUAUAUGUUUUCUUAUUUAUAUCAGUGUAGAAUUAGAUUUUUGUACACAGUCAGGUGUCUUUUUUUUUCUAUUUGUAUAUCUAUUUGGUAUAUAAUUAAUUAUUUGUAUAUCUCAAGCAGUUAUGCAUUUUUAGUCAUUGUCUGAUUUUUGUAUUUGUAUAUCUCUUACAUUUAUCCAAUAUUGCUUAUUUAUCUAACAAAUAAUUGUCUUUAUAUACUUUUGUUUUAUUGAUAUCAAUUAGUGAUUAUUGUUUUCUUUCUUAAUUUUAAUUUCAAGAAAUUCAGAAGCAUAUUUUCAAGGAAGACAUGGGGAUGGUUUACAGGGUUCAUAAUUACUUCUCUUACUACAGGACGCUUACCUAGCCAACUUAUCUGUAUAUGACUUUUUUUUCUAGGUGCUCAUUUUGUCUGGGCUUUUAAUUUACUAUUUCUAUUCAGCGGACGUGGUUAUUGACAAGAAAAUUUUGAACUUCAGGAGACUUAUUUUGGUAAGAAAUACUUGGGAAAAUAUACUUCUUGCAUGCAUACUUUGCAAAAAAAAUUCCAUUUUAAAAUAUAAUUUUAUAAGUAAUUGAUCAAUCAAGUAAUUAAAUGUCAAACUGCAUUAAUUAAGGAGUUGACUGUCAAAUGUAUUUGUAUAACUAAAAGAUCAAAAGCACGAAAUAUAUGCAUUCUGUAGCACAUUGAAUUAUAGUUACGAUUCAUAAUUAGAGAAACAUCAACUAAAAAGCAUGAUUGUAUUGGUCUUAGUUAUUUUUUGAAAUUUCCUUCUUUCACAAAACACUACUACACAAGAAAAUGGGCCGUGGCCCAUGAAAAUAUCUAAGCCUAUCUGUAAUUUUAGAUUCAGGAACAUCUCACGGUCGUAAGUAGGGGUGUACAAAAUUGAACCAAAUCACAAAUCGAGUCAAAUAGGAAAAAAAUUCGAUUAGUGAUUUGAUUUUGUAAAAAAAAAAACCCGACUAUAUUUGGGUUGGGUUGAUUUCAACUAAAAAAAAAUCAAUCCGAGACCAAAUCAACCCGACAUUAUAUAUAUAAUUUUAAAAAUUGUAUUCUAUACGUAAAAAUAUUUACUUUGAUAUAUUUUAAAUAUUUCUUAUAAUUUUUUUUAUAGUUUUUGUCUUUUAAUAUAUUUAUUUUUUGUUUGAAAGUUAAAAUUUUUAAUGAUCCAAUAAAAAUUAUAGUCCAUUUAUGUUGGUAAUUAUAAUAAAUCUUAAUUCAAAUCAAAUUAAUACUAAUGCAAAAUGAGAAAAUCAAUUCAACACUAAGAAUGAAGAAUAAUAUUGAAUAUUUGUUUUUUAGUUUUACAUAGGUUUACACAAUUAAAAUACAUAAUUUAAUUUUUUACUUUCUUUUAAUAUUUAGUCAUGUAACUAAUACUUAUUAAACUUAUUUUAGCAUGAUUUAAUACUUUUAAAUAUGAUUAAUUUCAUAUAUAAUAUGCAGAAAACUGAAUUAGUGCAACGAUCAUAUAUAUAUAUAUAUAUAUAUAUGUAAUUUGUACAAAACUGAACUACUUAAACGAUCAAACAUAUAUAAUUUGCAGAAAACAGAACUCUUAACGAUCAUACAUGUGUAAUUUGCACAAAACUCAACUACUUUACUUUAAUCCUAUUUUUUUGUUGAAUAGAAAAUGCCUCCCCUUCAGGAAACUCUCAUCUGUGAGUCUUUACUUUGUUUGAGUAGAUUUCCCUUUUUUUGGUGUUUAUUUGAGGUUUAGGCCAUAUGUCCCCUCUCUUGUUAGUGAUCUUAGUAAUAAAUAAAUUUAAAAAAAGCAACAAAACCCUAACUCUAAUUGAAUGCUUAAUUUGUCCAUCCAUAGAAGGAUUAUAAAUCUUAUCAAGACAAACUACUUUAACGAUCACACAUAUAUAAUUUGCAGAAAACUCAAGUACUCACGUAUGUAAUAAUUGGCAGAAAACUCAACUACUCUAACGAUCACAGAUAUAUAAUUUGUACUACAAAUUAAUAUUCAACAACUUUAUUAAUGAUCACACACACGUUUUGCAGAAAUUAAAGAAAACUUAACUAGGAACUCUAAUUGACGGAGUCUUAUUCGUUGGUACGUCGAUGAUCCCUCUUCUGGCCCCAUAUUUUGUAACAAUGCUUAAGCCUCUUGGCAGCGGCUAAGUAUUCCACAGCUUGAAGCGGUUUAAGUAUGUUCAGUACAAUUUCCUUCAAUGUUUUCAUCCUCAACUCAUCAGCGUCUCUUAAUACAUCAGCCAUAUAUCGGCUAUGUUCAUCUAAAACAUCAUCUGCAUUCUCACAAUCAUUCUCCAUUUUACCAGCGAAAGGCUGAUCCACAGCGUCCUCUUGCAAGCUAGCCAAUUUUGAAGAAAGGUUAGUCUCUUCUCUAAUCGUCUUAGCUUGUAAAGCGUCAAUCAUUUUCAUUUGUUUAUUCGUCAGCUCACUGAGGACACCGACCUUUUUCCCUUGUAGAAACUCAGUGAGAUGAGACUCGAUGUCCAUGCCACAUAGCGCGUACGCGAACCGUAUGAGAGAAGAUGGUCUACAGCCAGCGAUCCAUAGGAUUGAAUUCUCCAACGAGGUGCAUGAAGUUGGCGCCAAGAGUGGUGAUACGUCGAUACGGGCUAGACGGCUACGGUUGUUAGCAUAAUCUUGAAAAUUUUCUACGGUUUUUUCGAUUAGUUGAGUGAGUUCAUUUUCAUUUUUUAGGCCGUUUUUGGCUUGAACUGCAGCUUGUUCAAGCUCUAUUACUUCUUUACGUUGCAAAAUCAUCCAUGUCUCGUAUACGCAUUCUUGCUCCGUUGGACUAUCACUAGAAGUACUACUGGCCAUUUUAUGUUACCUAGUUGGAUUUAUUCAUAUGUAAAUACAUAUAUACAAGCUAAAUUAUAUAUAGUCCUAUUUACAUGACAAAACCACAGGAAAAAUAAAAUAUUUCAGAUUUUAUCAUUUUAUUGUUUGUCCACAUGCAGCACUAGAUAGAGUUUCGUCCUCAUCUAUGAGUACAAUAUAACCUUGCGUUGGGACUUCGUAUAGUAUUUUAACUCUCCGUUCAUUUUCAUUUGUCAUUUCAUGUUUUUCAAAAUUAAUGUAAUUAAUUUUUAAAAUUAAAUUAUAUUAUAUUAAUUCGAUAUUUUAAAUAAAAAUUUAAAUAUUUAAAAAUUACAUGAAAAAUAUUAUAAAUUAUUUUUUUUAUAUUAAUAUAAUAAAAAAAUACAUUAUUAAUAAAAAGUAUUAUAGAUUGACUCUAGAGGUAGAAAUUAUGACAAAUAAUAAUGGACGGAGGGAGUAUAUAUUUGCAGAUAGAAUACAACUUCCUUUGCGUCCUCAUCCUGCUUUAAUUUGUCGUGAUAUAAUCCUACGCCUAUGACAAAAUUGUAGUAUAUAUUAAUCAACCUAAUUAAUAAUCGAGUGGAAUGUUUCCGAUAUGUUUUAAUUAAUUUUCUCCUGCUUCUGUUUCAGCCCAAAAUUUAUUGUUUCGUACCUAUCGGCACUACAUUCAAUGUUGGACACUGAAAAUAUUACAUGACAUCUUUUGGGACCCAGUGAUAACCGCGACAAAUAGACGAUCUCAAUUAGAUUAUCCAACACUAUUUCAUUUCAUACUCUAUAUAUUAUUUUAUUUGUUUGGGAAGUAAAAACUAGAUUGAAUCAUCAUAUAUGUAAUAAUGUAAAUGUCAGUUAUUUUAUUCAUUCUACUAAUGCAGAUGGUAUUUCGAAUUUUGUUAAAAUCUGAGAUGGUAAUCGAAUAAAAAAUAAGUGACGUUUUUGUAAUUUAUAUAAUCUUUAACUCGUGUAAUUACUAAUGUCAUAAAUCAUAAUCUACUAGUACUAAUUAUUCACUGAUGCAUUUUCUACCCUAUUAUUAACCUUUUAUUGUACGUUAUUUAAGACUUAUAAAUAAUGGCAUUUUUUUUCUUUUUUUCUUUUGUGUUGGAGUUUUGAGGAGUACGAGACGAAAUAUUGCAUGAAAAAAGUGAGGUUGGCAUAAAGUUGAGAAAACAGAUAAAUUCUGAGUCCCCGUAUAAAAGAGAGCAACUCGGAAAAAAAGUGUUUUUAUGAGUGAAGUUUAAGGCUUUUUAAUUAGUAUUUGAGUUACUAUUGGUAAACUUUUAAAAUUUGAAAAAGGAUAGAUCGAGAGUUAUAUUGUUAGAUUGGUAAAAAUUAUAUGUGAUAGGAUAAAAUUUAAAUUUCCUUAAGAAAGCAAAUUAGUAGUGUCUUAAUUUGGAUAUUUGUUAUAUUAUUUUUCAAUUAUAUUUAAUGAUAUUUAAUCAAUAUGUGUCAAAACAUUUGCUUAUAAUAAAAUUUAAAAAUUAAAUUACUUUUAAAUUUGGUAAGAGAUGGAGUAUUAUUUUUCAAAUAACUAAAUGAAUUGGAUUAGAUAUACUGGCACGGCAACUGACCUGCACUUGCACUGUAAUAUACAUUGGUGCCCGCGCCACCGUCUAAAAUAAAAUUUUAUAUAUAGUAACUUGUGAAUUUCAUAAUAAAUGACAUAAUAUAUAAAGAUAACCCUUACUUUAAUUUAAUUGAUGACUAUAAUUUUUAACUAUGGGCGUACACAAGUAAACACUUAAACUUGUAUAAAAUUGAGCAACUGAAUCCCACAUGACAACUUACAUGACAAUAUCUUACAUGCAUUAUGUCAUGUAGGACACUUGAGUCUACUUGUACAAUUUUUAUAAUAGUUUAAGUAUCUCUUGCGCACAUUCACAGUUAAAGAGCAUAAUUAUUCGUUAACACCGAAUUAAGAGUCAUGUUUAUAUAUUCUGCAUGAUAAAAUUGAUUUACAACUUAGUGCUAAGAAAGGGAAAGUGAAUAAAUCUUUUAUACUAGUAUUGUGCAUUCAGAUCUACUUUGUUUUUAAAGAAACAUUUUUACAAUAUUUUUCUCCUUCAUCUUAAAAUUUAAAAUCUCUAAGCUUUUAAUUUUAACUCCAAACUUAAAAUACUAGUUAGUUCCUGUUUUAUGCACCUGAAUGUUCUCUCAAACUUAUCUCUAGCAAGCAUACUGGCAUAGCGGUUGUAGCGGUAGAAGUGAAACAUAUACUAGUGUAUUCGCUAAACGAUGAAUGAUUAAACCAAUCUAACCAACAAAGUGACGACAUUGGAUCAAGAUGCAUUGGGGGUUAAAAUAAGAGUCCACAGCUUAAAAAGGAAAAAAAAAAUUGACAAAAGUUUUAAAAAAAUAUAUUAAUUUUUUUAAUUAAAUAGGUAAAAUCGUUAUUGAUAUAGUGAUUUAUUUUGACGUCGUUAACAUAUCUUGCUCUAUCAGAUAAAUAGAUAGAACUUAGAAUAAACAAAUAGUUUGGUGCACUUAAUUACAUAGUACUACUAAUUAACUCCACUAAAAUCGUUGCCUGGUAGCGAUAUUUUAAGAACAACAUUUUUUUUAAAAAAAAAAUAUUAACGAAAAUCGCUGUCAAGACAAUGAUUUUUAACUAAAAAUAAAUUUAAAAGAGAUUGGACAAAAUUACUGAUAGAACGGUAAUUUUAAUCUGUUAACGAUGUUAAAAAAAUAUAAUUUGGAGGCUCUGAAAAUUCUAUAAUUAUUGUAAUUUGAUAAACUUUCGAAAGAGGAUAGCGCCAAAUUGUAUGGGUUUCUAUACUUUAUACUAUAUAAUUUGUACAAUCCAUCAAAAAUUUCAUGAGUUACGCCCAUGAUAAUCUGAAUUGAGAUUGACUCAAGAUAAUUUGAGUCGAAUUAAUCUCAACCUAUUUAAAUUUUAAUUUAUUUUAAAAGAAUAUUUAAUUGAGUGCAAUUUAAUUUUAAAUUUUAACAUGUCUUAAGCUUGUUUAUUUACAUUGAUGUAAUAUACAUUCUGAUAUUACUAUAUCAAAAAUGAUCAUAAGCGGUAAUUAAUGCUAAAUAUUUAUUUUUAGCAACAAUUAACACUCGUAGUAUAUGUCCUUAAAGCCUUUAAUGACAUUGGUUCUAAUGACACUUUACUGAUGUCGAUAAAGAUUUUGACACUCUUUAUUAAUAUUAAUAUUUAAUACAGGUAAAAGUCGUUUUUAUUAUACUGUAUUGAAAAUAUGAAUUGUUAUAUAUUUUAUAUCUUCUACAAUUUUAUAUUUUUUAUUUUUUUAAAAAAAAAUUCUUAAAUUGAAAUUCAAAUUAUGAUUAUGAAAGUUAAUAAAUACGUUAAAAUUAUUGAGUUCAUGAUUCAAUUCGAUUUUAGCUAAUUUAAGUUCAGUCUAAAUUUGAACAGGUUAUGAUUAGUCACUCUAAUUUUUAUUUCAACUAAUUUUUAUAUUUAUAAUCUCAAUUCAAUCAGCUCAUUUAACGGCCUAAGAUGGAUGCAUGCAACCUGAAACUACCAAACAAACUAAACAAGUUGCAAGUAGAUUCUAUAAGAUUAUUGAGACUUCAAACAAAGUGAAAAAGUUGUACGUAUUUACUUAUGGACACAACGUUCAACCUCUAAGUACAGUCCUUGGAACCCUAAAUGUUGGAAUCAUUUUGCUCGUCGGUUUCUAGAGGCGGCUAUCUCUAUAAGUUGUAACCAACGAUGGAGAAUGAUUUCAAAAUAUUUUGAUACAUAUUUAAUUUUAAAAGAAAAUACUCAAUACUAAUUUGGAGUGGAUUUUUUGAACUUUGAUAUAAUUUUUUGGUUAUAGUUUUUCAAUAGUAUCGAGCCUAACUACUUUAGUUCGAUAAGAUUUGAUAUAUAUUCAACUUGUGUGUCAUCCAUGCUAAGAGAGAUUCACCAUAAUGCCCAAAAAUAUUCAACUUGUAAGGCGGAUUCGUGUCACAAUAUUGACUAAUGAAUAGUAAUGGUGAGUUUGUUUUGAUUGCGUUUUAUUAUAUUUAUUCGAUGUUUUAAAGUAAAAUUUUAAAUAUUUAAAAAUUAUAUAAAAAGUGAUAUAAAUUAUAAUUACUUAUAUAUCAAUAGGAUAAAAAUAUUAAUUAAAAUUUUUAUUGUAUGACUAAAAAAGAAUGACUACUAAAAAACGAAAAAAAAGAUUAAAUAAAUGCUCAUUCGGUGUAUUGAAGUGGUUAUAUACUUAUAUCCUAAAAUCAAAAUCCAAAGUUCGAUUUAAUACGAUAUUUCGAUAUUUAUGUCUAUUCCUUCCAAAAUCCAGUAAGCACGUCAAUUUUUUCAUUGCAUAAUUACCAAUUUUUUCAUGCUACUGUAAAAUUAUACUUUUUUCGUCAACUUUUAAUUGUAUAAUUUUUUUGUUAAAUUAUAAAAAAAUUGAUUAAUAUUUUAAUGUAAUUUUUGCAUCAUAUUGUAUAAAAAAAAUUACAUUUUAUAGUACUUUUUUGUUAAUAGUUUUUAAAUAUCUGAAAUUUUUGUUAAAAACAUCAAAUUAAUAUAAUCUAAUUUUAACUUUAAAAAUUAAUUGAAUUAACUCAUAGCAAACAAAAAUGAACCGAGGUAACAUUUUUUUUUUUUUGCUUUUUUAUCUUUUGCAAAAGCCUAAAAUUAAGGCCAAUCUCCGGCAACCCAAAAUCUCCAUUCAUUUUAUCCAGCCAUUCUCCUUCUUCCGCCACACCGGAGCACAAACCAUGAAGUGAAUAAGCUUCCACCUCGCAAAACCCAUCAAAUAUCCGACUUAUCGAAACCUUCAAGCUGAACUUGAGCAACCAUUGAUGAGGCUGUGAAGUUCCAUAAGGAGAAUAUCAAAGUAUACUCUUGAGAUUGUAUUGUAGAAGAUGAUUGAUUGACUGCAUUGAUCACCCAAGAGGUGUAUAUAUACAUGUGAGAUUGUCAAUCUAGUGGAGAAAGAAAAGAGUAACUAACAACUUAACAAUCUAACAAACUAACAAACUAAUUAGUUACAUAACUAACUAUGACACCACUAACUAUAAAAUGGAAAGUAACUAACUAACUAACUACUUGAAGUAAUGUACAUGUUUAAUUAUGAAUGUUAAUACCCCUCCUCAAGUUGGAGGUGAUGAUUUCGCAGCCAACUUGCGCAAAAUGGCUGAAUGCUUGAUGCCAGUGAGGGCCUUAGUAAGAAUGUCAGCAAGUUGAUUAGAGGUAGACACAUGAUGCAAAGAAAUCAACCCCUCCUGAAGCUUAUUACGUACGAAAUGACAAUCCACUUCAAUGUGUUUAGUUCUCUCAUGAAACACAGGAUUGCGAGCAAUAUGGAUUGCAGAUUGACUGUCACAGUAGACACUAAUAGGAGAGGAAAUGGAGACAGUUAGCUCAGUGAUCAAUCUGUGAAGCCAAGUUAAUUCUCCUACAACUUUUCUGAGUGACCUAUACUCUGCUUCUGCUGAAGAUAGUGAAACUGUCUCUUGUUUCUUAGAUUUCCAGCUAAUAGGACUGUUACCAAGCAACACCAAGUACCCACUGAUUGACUUCCUUGAAUCUGGACAUGAUGCCCAAUUUGAAUCACAAAAUGCUUGGACUGUACAAUCAGGAUUCUUGGAUAACUGAACUCCUAAAGUAGUAUCUUGUUUGAGGUAUCUAAGUAGAUGAUAAGCUGCUUGUAAGUGUGGAGCUCGUGGAUCCUGCAUGAAUUGGCUUAAAUGUUGAACACUAAAAGCUAUGUCCAAUCUAGUAUUAGUCAAGAAAUUCAACUUUCCUAUCAAUUUUCUGUAGAAAGUGGGAUCAGGUAAAGGAACUCCUUCCUUGGCUUUCAACUUCACAGUGGGAUCCAAAGGAGAUGAUAGAGGUGUAUAGUUGAAACAAUCAUAUUCUUUGAGUAAGUCUAGAGUAAAUUUCCUCUGAGAAAUCAGUACUCCAUCUGUUGUAUCAAGAAUCUCCAGGCCCAGAAAAUAGUGAAGUCUUCCAAGAUCUUUGAUCUUAAAGGUGUUGUCUAAAUAUACUUUGAGCUGUGCAAUCUCAGUUGUGUCUGUCCCUGUUAAAAUAACAUCAUCUACAUAUACUGCAACAAAUACAACCAAAGAACCUUCCUUUCUGUAAAACAAAGAAUGAUCAAAUUGUGAAUGUGAGUAGCCUCUAGAUGAUAAUGCCUCAGUUAGCUUAGAAUACCACUGCCUACUUGCUUGUUUGAGGCCAUAAAGAGACUUUUUCAGCUUACAAACUAGCUCUGAAUUAGGUACUUCAAGUCCUGGAGGUAAUUUCAUGUAAACCUCUUCAUGAAGAUCUCCAUGAAGGAAUGCAUUAUUUACAUCAAGUUGAAACAUACUCCAACCCUUCUUUACUGCACAUGCUAUCAAAGUUCUCACUGUGGUCAUCUUGACUACAGGUGAAUAAGUUUCAGUGUAAUCAAUUCCAGCCUGUUGUGUAUACCCCUUCACAACCAAUCGUGCCUUGAACCUUUCUAUGCUCCCAUCUGCUUUGUGUUUUACUUUGUAUACCCACCUACAUCCAACUGCUUGUUUGUUUGGUGGUAAAGUAACAAGAUCCCAAGUGUCAUUAUCAUACAGUGCUUCAAACUCUUAUAUCAUGGCCUUUUGCCAUACAGGAUUCAGUGAUGCUUCCUCAUAUGAUGAUGGCUCACUAUCAUGACAAAUGUUCUCAACAGGUGACUGACUAGUAGAUGCAAUGACUUCAGGAGAUAUAUGGUGGUGUUUGGUAAACAAUGCAGUAAGGGAUAGAUUAUUGUUGAUCUCUGUGUUUUGUGUGUUGGAAUUGACUGAUUUUAGUUUUGGGAUAUUGAUAACAUAAUCUUUCAAAUGUGAUGGUAUUUCGUUUUCUCUAUGAGAUCUUCUCUGUACUAUUGUGGGAGGAUUGCGUUGGGAUGAUGUUGAAGAGGUAAUGAGAGCACUGGAAGAUAUACUGGGAUUUUGAGUAAUGUGAGAAGAUAUAUGAGGAGGAGUUGUAUCAGUCACAUUGUCACAAUCAUUUACACAGCCUUUAUAUGAAUCUAAAUCAGCAUAAUCAGAGGAUGAAAAAGACUUUAAAACAGAAGGAAAAGAAGGAUUUUCAAGUGACAAAGCAAAAGGAAAAACAUGUUCAUGGAAAAUCACAUCUCUGGAGAUAUGUAUCUUCUUUGUAGCCAGACUCAUCACCUUAUAACCUUUGGUUCCAAAAAUAUAUCCUAAGAAAAUGUGUGGUGUGGUUUUUGGUUCAAACUUGUCUCUAAGUACCUUUGGAAUAGUGGGGUAACAAAGACAACCAAAGGAUCUAAGCUGACUAUAGUUUGGUUUCUUAUUGUAUAACACUUCAUAUGGACACUUAUUUUUCAAAUAACUUGAUGGAAGUCUGUUAAUAAGAUGCGUAGCUGUUAACACACACUCUCCCCAGUAUCUUAUAGGCAGUUUAGAUUGAAAUAGAAGUGCUCUAGCUGUUUCCAACAAGUAUUUAUGUUUUCUUUCCACUAUACUGUUUUGUUGAGGUGUGUAAGGACAAGUUUUCUGGUGGAUAAUCCCUUUGGACAGAAGAAAUUGGUGUGUUUCAUUAUUAACAAACUCUAGUCCAUUAUCUGUUCUAAUGCUUUUCACUGUGGUAUUAAACUGAUUCUCCACCAUGACUGUAAAAUUCUUUAAAACUUGUAAUGCAUUACUCUUGGUACUUAAAAGUUGUGUCCAAGUUGAUCUACUAUAAUCAUCCACCAAUGUAAUGAAGUAUUUGUAGUUGUCAUAUGUAGGUGCAUGAUAAGGUCCCCAUAAGUCAAUGUGUAGUAACUCAAAAAUGGAUUUGGUUUGGCUGUUACUAUGGUUAAAAGGUAGCCUUUGUUGUCUUGACAUUGGACAAAUGUUGCAGGAAAAAGGUUGUUUGGGAGAGAAAACAGCUGGUAAGUCAGUAAUACUUUUCAUCUUAGUUAAAGGUACAUGGCCAAGUCUAUUGUGCCAUAACAAAUCUACAUUAUCUCCUCCAAUACUACAAGAGUUGUGAUCAUCCAGAACAUUCAUAUUAUUAGGAGAAAGUUUACACUUAAGAGGAACAGAAUUAGAAACCAACACUUUGAAUUGAUCUGGAAAACAAGGACUAGCAGAAAAAGAAUUACAUGUAUCAUUCUUAAUGGAACUAGACAAAGGUUUAUUAUUGGAAAAACAACAGCAUAUCUGACAUGUAUUGACUUUAUUAGAAGCCUUCAAACACUUUGUGCACAAGAAGUAAAGCCCAUCUUUACAAUUACCAAGAACCUGAGGCCUCUUCACUAAAGGGGCCUGCAAUAGACACAAUGCAUUAGUGAACAAGACUAUGCACUUCAUUGUAGCAGUUAGGGAUUGAACUGAAACUAGAUUAUACUUAAAAGAAGGCACAUGUAAAACUUGAUGUAAAAUGAUGCUAGGUGUGACUGGUACUUCCCCAAACUCUGUUACUUUGACUUUGUAUCCAUUUGGAAGAGAAACAAGUAUAGGAAAAGGUAAGGUUUUAAUGUUCCUUAGAGAGUUUCUACUAAAGGUUAUAUGGUUUGAAGCUCCUGAGUCAAUGAUCCACAAAUUAGCACUUGAUUCGAAACAUUUGCAAGAUGGAUUGUCAACAACAGUAGAGGAAGAACAAAACACAGUACCUGCAAAGUUCAUUGAUCCAGCAGCCACACCAGAAGUAUUGUUAGCCCCAGUCUCUUCUCCCAUAUUCCCAUUUUGGAAAUGUUGCAAUAAAUUCAUGAUCUGUCCAUAUUGUUCUCUUGUGAAGUUAACAUUCCUUGAGUUGUCACCUUGAGAUUGUGAUUGUUUCUCUCCAUUACCAGACACCACAUCACCUGUAGUACCAUGUACAUUUGCUACCACUCUUCUUCCUUUGUAAUUUGAGCCUUGCUGUCUAGAACUCUGACCACCACUGUAAUUUCCUGAUCUAUUAUUUUGAUUAUUGUUGCUUUGGGGAUACCCAUGCAGCUUGUAGCAUUUAUCUUUGAUGUGCCCAGUCCUCUUACAGUAGUCACAUACUAUGACAUUCCUGUUGUUUGGAUAAGAACUCCCUCCUGAGUUACUGUUAGUAUCACUAUGAUUUCCAUAGCCAUUUGCAUAGUUAUUCCCUUGAAAAUUUGUUCUAAAAGGUCUUCCUCCAUGGCCUUUGUUAUCAACAGCUUUAACAUUCAGGGAAACAGAAUCUGUUCUACCAACAGGCUUGAGCUCUCUUUGCUUUUCCUCUUGAAUUAGUAAUGAGAAAGCCUGCCCCAUGGAUGGAAGAGGAUUCAUCAUGAGAAUGUUUCCUCUUAUCACUGUGUACACUUCAUUUAAUCCCAUAAGAAAAUGAAUUAACCGCCUAUCUUGCUCAGCCUUGUACAUACCAUCUUUCGCACCACAUACACACACACAGCUACAAUGGUUCUUCACAUUCAAAGUGUUUAAGUCUUCCCACAACUUCUUCAUUCUUGUGUAGUAGACAGUGAUGUCCAAAACUCCUUGUGUGAGAUUAUUGAUCUCCUUUUGGAUUUGAUACAAUUUUGCUCCAUUGGUUUGAUCAUACCUAUCUUCCAACUCCUUCCAUAACUCAGCAGAAUUGGUAACAUAUUCCACACUAUCUGAAAUUUCUUUGAUUAAAGAGUUUAGUAUCCAAGAUGUCACCAUAUCAUCACAUCUUUGCCAUUGACGUAAUUGAGAUGGAUUGUUGUUUGGUUUCUCACAACUUCCAUCAAUGAAACCCAACUUAUUUUUCACUGACAAGGCCCUCAUUACACCUCUUCUCCAAGACCUAUAUCCUGUUCCAUCAAAUUGGACAGGAACAAGCAUCAUCCCUGGAUUAUCCGAGGGAUGUAAAUACAGAACACCAUUUGUAUCGUUUCCAGAUGUGACAGAUCCUUCAGAUGUGAAUGCCACAGCUUCAACAGCCAUCACAACUAAGCUGUUCGAUGAGCAAAAGAAGAAGAGAAACAGAGAUGCAAACGAAGAUGAACAGAGAUGAAAAAUCUCUGCAAAACAAAUGUAAUCAACAGAGUAACUUCAGGAUCUACUAUCGAUUGCUAAGACACGUAGCUAAACCAAAGAGAAGAGAGCAAUUCACUGCGCUCUGAUACCAUAUCGAAACCUUCAAGCUGAACUUGAGCAGCCAUUGAUGAGGCUGUGAAGUUCCAUAAGGAGAAUAUCAAAGUAUACUCUUGAGAUUGUAUUGUAGAAGAUGAUUGAUUGAUUGCAUUGAUCACCCAAGAGGUGUAUAUAUACAUGUGAGAUUGUCAAUCUAGUGGAGAAAGAAAAGAGUAACUAACAACUUAACAAUCUAACAAACUAACAAACUAAUUAGUUACAUAACUAACAAACUAAUUAGUUACAUAACUAACUAUGACACCACUAACUAUAAAAUGGAAAGUAACUAACCAUUACGAACCAACACUGCUGCAACCAGCAACUCCAACCAAACAUAAAAACAGCAAUCAAAUGUUCCCCAAAACUCCAUUAAAAUAGACCCAACAACCACAAAAAACCUAAACCAAGAAGUCAGCCAUCAACAAACCUUUAAGCUCCAUCAAACAAUGAGCUCAAAGCUCUAAAAAUCAGCAGUAGGAAUUAAUUUUGAUUCUUGUAUAUAAUUAAAAUUAAAAUUAAUUUUGAUUCUUCAAUAUAAAUUAAAAUUAAUUUUGAAUUUUUUAGUUCUAAAAUCGACAUGUAAAGUAUUUAACUAGUUGGCAGUCACUCACUGAAAGUUGAAUUUCAAAAUUAAAAUUUGAAGUCAACUUUAGGAUGAAAUAUAUAUAUUAUGUCAUUAAUUAAUGCAUCAUUUUUCUCAUUUACGACUACUACUAUUAUCAAAAAUGACGAGCCAAGUAGCGGAACACUUCACAAAAUACUUCGAAAAUCGGAUGAUUCAACUUGAAGAGUUACUGAAACAACUCGUUAUUGUACCUAGGGAAACGUCAUACGUGAGUUAUUGGUGAUUAAAAUGACGACACAUCACAAGAACUACUACACAGCCAAAUGGGCCGCAGCUCAUGAAGACAUCUUAGCAUUUUUCACUCCAAUGUGGCUUAGUCCUUUAGAAAUUGUCUACUCGUGGAUCACAGGGUGGAAGCCUUCCAUGGCGUUUCGAUUAGUCAGUGGCGUUGGAGGAGCGUUUUCUGAUGAGGAAUUGAAGAAUAUUGAUGGUUUGAGGGUGAAAAUUCGUGGAGAGGGAAAUGGAGAGGCAACAGGUUGCAAUUGGGGAUAGAAAAAUGGUGGAAUUAGCAAGGAUUAGAAAUGAUAAUGAUGAGUUGGUAGAAUUGGCUUUGGAAGGGUAAAGGAUGAGUUUAGAAAGGGUUAUGAAAAUGGCAGAUUGUGUUAGGC